GAGAGCCAAAUGAAUUGAAAGAUUCAUGUUUGGUUCAGGAAGAGAUCUAUAUCAGGCGAUAUCUCUGAGGUAUCAUCCCGUACGAACAGGAUACCGUCGAGGUAUCAGGUGACACCUCUAAGGUUUCAUCCUGUCCAAAUGGAGCCUGGUAGCAUUCCUAAAAAAAUGCUAUACCCUUCAU
rnacentral:ncRNA from 1 species